rnacentral:rRNA from 1 species
GACGAACGCUGGCGGCGUGCUUAACACAUGCAAGUCGAACGGAAAGGCCCUGCUUUUGUGGGGUGCUCGAGUGGCGAACGGGUGAGUAACACGUGAGUAACCUGCCCUUGACUUUGGGAUAACUUCAGGAAACUGGGGCUAAUACCGGAUAGGAGCUCCUGCUGCAUGGUGGGGGUUGGAAAGUUUCGGCGGUUGGGGAUGGACUCGCGGCUUAUCAGCUUGUUGGUGGGGUAGUGGCUUACCAAGGCUUUGACGGGUAGCCGGCCUGAGAGGGUGACCGGCCACAUUGGGACUAAGAUACGGCCCAGACUCCUACGGGAGGCAGCAGUGGAGAAUAUUGCACAAUGGGCGGAAGCCUAAUGCAGCAACGCCGCGUGCGGGAUGACGGCCUUCGGGUUGUAAACCGCUUUCGCCUGUGACGAAGCGUGAGUGACGGUAAUGGGUAAAGAAGCACCGGCUAACUACGUG